CAGAAAGACAAGGGCUAGUUUGUGAGACAAUUCCUUUGCUUGGUUGAAAAUGUUGUUGCUAGUGCAGCCUAGUUACUUAAAUCUGCCUGGAUUUUUGCUGCUACCAGUGGCUGUUCCUGUAAAUUGUAAUGGAUCUAUAAGUCACAUUGAAACGCCAGGGCUGCUUUUCAGUCAUGCUCACCAUACUUCCUUUUCCUGAAGCAAGUAUUCAUGAAGAUUUUCACCUACUCUUUGCAGCCAUUGAAUCUCCAGGUAAUGAAUCUUUCCUAAAAUCAGCCUGUGUGGAACAAGUUAACUUAGGUGAAGCUGAGUUCAUCAGGAUCUGCUCGGUAAAAUUAUAA
rnacentral:lncRNA from 1 species